UGCAAAGUAUUUCUUUGGUUGAAAUAAAGGUAAAUACUGUACAUUUUUUUUAAAAGUGUCAAUUUAACAAAGACUAAUAGCGAAAAAUCAAUGGUGGUAUUACACCUAUUUAGGGAAACUAAAUGUGCACUCGUGACCCUAUUGUACUUUCAUUUUUAAAAGUUAUUAAUAAACCAGUUCAUACAUUGUAAACAUGGACUAUUCGGAAUGGAUUUAGACACAGAAAGUACGUUUGAGGUAAAAUUGCAUUGAUAUGGGGGUUUACGGGUGUUUUCUAAGUGAAAUGGGUGGACAGACGAAGCUGUAUUUAGGUUACUGUGUUAAAUUUUAAAUUACCCUUACAGUUUUGGUUUUGUUUAUACAACAUGUGAAUUUUUUAUUUCAGUGUUAACCAUGUUUUGAAGAGCAUUCUGUUGAAAAAUCUUAUAUGUGAAUUGGUCUGCAGAUGACACUUCAGCAUCAAAGUAUGUAUCAACUAUCAUCAUGUUUUUUUGUGUUUUGGCCGCAAAAGUUUACAAUUUGCCAUUGUGCCGUCUACAUUUUGCACAGACAAUAACUCAUCUAAACACUUAUUUGUCCUGGAUUUAUACACAUCAGAAUCCAGUCUCACAUACUUAAACUUUAUAAUUCUUACCAAUUAUUUUUUUGUACCAGCAUUCCAAGGGACAUAACCCUUUUUAAAACAUUUUGAGGUAUUUUUUGUAUUACUCUUUCUCCCCAUUUCUUAAUGUAAAAUACAAGAAAAGUGGACUUUUUGUGUAAAUCUAUUAGAAAUAUACUGUUAUGAGUAAAUAAAAAGACUUUGAUACCAGUAGCAAUAAAUGAUUCACUGAAAGGGAACGGUUAUUUGUCACACUAGGGGAACAGACCAAAAACUCAAGUUACACAUAAGGGCUUAUAGAAACUUCCGUGUAGACUGUUAACAUUUAUAGAGACAGUACUUUCAGCUAAAACACUUUAAUUAUUGAUUAAACUUAACAUUUAUUUCAUUUUUGUGGGAAAAUAAUCACAUUUCUUUUAUUUUUUAGACAAAAGAUAUCAAGUUUUGAAGAAAAAGGAAGGAGAAGGAAAAAUGGACCAACAUAGACCAAAACAAACCUUCAAAUGAACUCUAAAAGGUGC
rnacentral:lncRNA from 1 species